GAUAAAGCAUAGUACUGAAAAACAAAGCUAAAUAGUUGGAGUUGACCUUCUUUUACUGAUCCGGCCCACCUGAGAACAGAAAGUCUGGAUCCGGCCCCAGAGCCAAACUGAGUUUGACACGCCUGCUCUGUGUAAUGAGGACAC